rnacentral:rRNA from 1 species
UACGGAGGGUGCAAGCGUUAGUCGGAAUUACUGGGCGUAAAGGGUGCGUAGGCGGGUCGACAAGUCAUAUGUGAAAUUCCGAGGCUCAACCUCGGAGCUGCAUAUGAAACUGUCGAUCUAGUGGAAUGGCGGAGAAAAUGGAAUUCCAUGUGUAGCGGUGAAAUGCGUAGAUAUAUGGAAGAACACCUGUGGCGAAAGCGGUUUUCUAGCCUACUCCAGACGCUGAGGCACGAAAGCAAGGGGAUCAAACAGG